GAUGAACGCUGGCGGCGUGCCUAAUACAUGCAAGUCGAGCGAACAGACGAGGAGCUUGCUCCUUUGACGUUAGCGGCGGACGGGUGAGUAACACGUGGAUAACCUACCUAUAAGACUGGGAUAACUUCGGGAAACCGGAGCUAAUGCCGGAUAACAUGUUGAACCGCAUGGUUCAACAGUGAAAGACGGUCUUGCUGUCACUUAUAGAUGGAUCCGCGCCGCAUUAGCUAGUUGGUAAGGUAACGGCUUACCAAGGCAACGAUGCGUAGCCGACCUGAGAGGGUGAUCGGCCACACUGGAACUGAGACACGGUCCAGACUCCUACGGGAGGCAGCAGUAGGGAAUCUUCCGCAAUGGGCGAAAGCCUGACGGAGCAACGCCGCGUGAGUGAUGAAGGUCUUCGGAUCGUAAAACUCUGUUAUUAGGGAAGAACAAAUGUGUAAGUAACUAUGCACGUCUUGACGGUACCUAAUCAGAAAGCCACGGCUAACUACGUG
rnacentral:rRNA from 1 species